rnacentral:misc_RNA from 1 species
CGCACAUUGCGCCCUUUGGUAUUCCGAAGGGCAUGCCUGUUCGAGCGUCAUUAUAACCACUCAAGCCCUCGCUUGGUAUUGGGGCUCGCGGUCUCGCGGCCUCUAAACUCAGUGGCGGUGCCUGUCGGCUCUACGCGUAGUAAUACUCCUCGCGUCUGGGUCCGGCAGGUUGCCUGCCAGCAACCCCCAAAUUUUUACAGGUUGACCUCGGAUCAGGUAGGGAUACCCGCUGAACUUAA